GACAGGAUGGCCGAGUGGUUAAGGCGGUAGUUUCGAAUGUUCUGCUCUUCUUGUGGGGUGGACAUACUAGAGCAGCUACUUCACUCUGUGAGCGUGAGUUCAAAUCUCACUUCUGUCG